rnacentral:piRNA from 1 species
UUCCCGUUGUCAUUUACAAUCCUGGG